rnacentral:rRNA from 1 species
AUGCAAGUCGAACGCGAAAGCCCCGCAAGGGGCAAGUAGAGUGGCAAACGGGUGAGUAACACGUGGGUGACCUGCCUUCGAGUGGGGGAUAACGUCCCGAAAGGGACGCUAAUACCGCAUGACAUCCUGCCUUUGAAGAGGCGGAGAUCAAAGCUGGGGAUCGCAAGACCUAGCGCUUGAAGAGGGGCCCGCGUCCGAUUAGCUAGUUGGUGAGGUAAUGGCUCACCAAGGCAACGAUCGGUAGCCGGCCUGAGAGGGCGGACGGCCACACUGGGACUGAGACACGGCCCAGACUCCUACGGGAGGCAGCAGUGGGGAAUUGUUCGCAAUGGGCGCAAGCCUGACGACGCAACGCCGCGUGGAGGAUGAAGAUCUUCGGGUCGUAAACUCCUGUCGAAUGGGACGAACGGGUUGCGGGUUAACAGCCCGCGACCGUGACGGUACUGUUAAAGGAAACCCCGGCUAACUCCGUGCCAGCAGCCGCGGUAAUACGGGGGGGGUAAGCGUUGUUCGGAAUUACUGGGCGUAAAGGGCUCGUAGGCGGCCAACUAAGUCAUACGUGAAAUCCCUCAGCUUAACUGGGGAACUGCGUGUGAUACUGGAUGGCUUGGAUUUGGGAGAGGGAUGCGGAAUUCCAGGUGUAGCGGUGAAAUGCGUAGAUAUCUGGAGGAACACCGGUGGCGAAGGCGGCAUCCUGGACCAAUAUUGACGCUGAGGAGCGAAAGCCAGGGGAGCAAACGGGAUUAGAUACCCCGGUAGUCCUGGCCCUAAACGAUGAAUGCUUGGUGUAGCGGGUAUCGAUCCCUGCUGUGCCGAAGCUAACGCAUUAAGCAU